GAUGAAGAACGUAGCAAAAUGCGAUAAGUAGUGUGAAUUGCAGAAUUCAGUGAAUCAUCGAAUCUUUGAACGCACAUUGCGCCCGCCAGUAUUCUGGCGGGCAUGCCUGUUCGAGCGUCAUUUCAACCCUCAAGCCCUCGGGUUUGGUGUUGGGGAUCGGCGAGCCUUUCUGGCAAGCCGGCCCCGAAAUCUAGUGGCGGUCUCGCUGCAGCCUCCAUUGCGUAGUAGUAAAACCCUCGCAACUGGAACGCGGCGCGGCCAAGCCGUUAAACCCCCAACUUCUGAAUGUUGACCUCGGAUCAGGUAGGAAUACCCGCUGAACUUAAGCAUAUCAAUAAGCGGAGGA
rnacentral:misc_RNA from 1 species